rnacentral:lncRNA from 1 species
AACUAACGCAUUUUUACAAUUGAAUUAAAACCUUAAAAUCCUAUAUAAAAUGAUCGAUUGGGCGCCGAUAGUAAUUGGUUAUCUUCUUUUUGUUUUGCUUUCUCCCGGCGUCCUCUUUCAAAUUCCGGGCAACACACGACACAUCGAAUAUGGAAGCUUCGGCACAAAUGGAAAGGCUGUUAUUGUCCACACAAUAAUUUUUUUUGCGGUCUUUACCAUUCUCAUUAUGGCUGUACGCAUUCGAAUUUACAUGGGUUGAUUUUCUUCUCUUCAUUUCUCAUGUAUAAAUAUAGUAAAAAUAUACAUGGUUUUGCCUUCAAAUAGGAAAAAAAAAUAAAAAAAAAUCCAUGGUUUUGUAUGUGAUUAUUAUCGAUUGAUGUGGUCGAAAUUUGGUAUUGAUUGACAUGUUCAUGACUUCUUGUU